rnacentral:rRNA from 1 species
GACGAACGCUGGCGGCGUGCUUAACACAUGCAAGUCGAACGGAAAGGCCCUGCUUUUGUGGGGUGCUCGAGUGGCGAACGGGUGAGUAACACGUGAGUAACCUGCCCUUGACUUUGGGAUAACUUCAGGAAACUGGGGCUAAUACCGGAUAGGAGCUCCUGCUGCAUGGUGGGGGUUGGAAAGUUUCGGCGGUUGGGGAUGGACUCGCGGCUUAUCAGCUUGUUGGUGGGGUAGUGGCUUACCAAGGCCUUGACGGGUAGCCGGCCUGAGAGGGUGACCGGCCACAUUGGGACUGAGAUACGGCCCAGACUCCUACGGGAGGCAGCAGUGGGGUAUAUUGCACAAUGGGCGGAAGCCUGAUGCAGCAACGCCGCGUGCGGGAUGACGGCCUUCGGGUUGUAAACCGCUUUCGCCUGUGACGAAGCGUGAGUGACGGUAAUGGGUAAAGAAGCACCGGCUAACUACGUG